AACGUCUUGGCCCCAGUCUUUCUGUGGUCGUCGUGUAAGGCUGAAUGCAGUAUCCUCACACACAACCACAGGAAGUUUGGUGUCUCAAGUCAU
rnacentral:pre_miRNA from 1 species